rnacentral:rRNA from 1 species
CACUCCUACGGGAGGCAGCAGUGGGGAAUUUUGGACAAUGGGCGAAAGCCUGAUCCAGCCAUGCCGCGUGCAGGAUGAAGGCCUUCGGGUUGUAAACUGCUUUUGUACGGAACGAAACGGCCUUUUCUAAUAAAGAGGGCUAAUGACGGUACCGUAAGAAUAAGCACCGGCUAACUACGUGCCAGCAGCCGCGGUAAUACGUAGGGUGCAAGCGUUAAUCGGAAUUACUGGGCGUAAAGCGUGCGCAGGCGGUUAUGUAAGACAGUUGUGAAAUCCCCGGGCUCAACCUGGGAACUGCAUCUGUGACUGCAUAGCUAGAGUACGCUAGAGGGGGAUGGAAUUCCGCGUGUAGCAGUGAAAUGCGUAGAUAUGCGGAGGAACACCGAUGGCGAAGGCAAUCCCCUGGACCUGUACUGACGCUCAUGCACGAAAGCGUGGGGAGCAAACAGGAUUAGAUACCCGAGUAGUCCCAUGAU